rnacentral:lncRNA from 1 species
AUGUGUCGCCCUCGAGCCCUGGGCCCUGGACCGAACUCGAGGUGCAGGUCUCGCGCCGAAGCCACCGGCCACGGCAGUACUUCCCUCGCGGUUCAAAGUCCACAGCAGCUGCCUUCCCGGAGGCUGGAGGCCGCCUCCCGGGACCACAAAGCGAACGCCUCCGCCCGGCAGGCCUCGGGCGGGGCCGCGGGACUUCUAAGGUGUUGGGGAUGCUGGCUGGACCCUCCGCGGUUCCUUUGUCAACCCAGGGGUUCAAACAUUCAUUUUAUAAUCGUCUGUGAACAACAACGCGCGACUAAGAAAGACUGCCAAGAAUUAAACUGAAGUCAGGCACCCACGUUUCGGGGAGAUUUUUUUCCCUUGAGCUUGAGACAAGGGGGCUGUGCCCCCUUAUGAUUCAUUCCCCCUAUUUCUUCCAACUCUAUGUUCUGCUUGGUUACAAGCAGCGACGUGGACACGGUGUGAAACCAGGCGGGGCGGGAAAUGGGGCUCCUCUGCCUGGCUCAGGUGUGUAAUCUCGAACCCACUGCCAUCCCCAGCCCACCCCGCCCUGGAUGCAGGGACGCGGGAAAAGCAAGCAUCUCUGCGCACCAGUAGGAAGAAGGUGAGACCAGAAGGCCAUGGGUCAGGCCUUAAUGCACUGCGAGGGUGAGGUGUGGAGAUCUCUGAGGAGUUGGGCCUUGCUUCCCUGCUCUUCCUCUCCUUUAUAUCUCCCACCUCCUCCCCAGGACACACACACCUGGAGGGAGGGGAAAUGGAUGGAGAGGAGGCUGGAGAGACGCUCCCACCCACCAGGAGAUCAGACUCUUCUAAGGCCACGCGAUUUGCCCAGUUCUGGUGCAGGUCACAGAAGAUGCUAAGACAGAUGCUAAGAUGACGCUAACAAGAUGCUAAGAUGCGAAGACACAGGAAUGGUCCGACGCAACGAAGCUCAAAAGGAGACAACCCUCUCUCAUUCAUAAAUAUUACUGCAAAUGUAUUAGAGACCUCAAGUGAUUUUUUAUUCCGUUUGCAGUCUCCGCUGAAAGGGAUCUGGUACUGUUUGUGCUAGUCAAGCGCCAGAACACUGUUAAAGUGAAAGGGAAAAGGGAACUAAGAAUGUUUUAAAAGACACAUGUAACAUUUUAAGAUAACCAUAUACAAAAUGCUCACAUAACUUUUAUGAGGCCAGUUACAAUGAAGAAAAUACAUUUUCUAAUUUAAUAAAAUUUAGUUAUUUUGGUGGUUUCAACAGACUUUCAAAAUUGAUGACAUUUGAUUAUAAAACUUGACUGCAGAAAAAUUAGUACCUUUGGCUUUUUAAACAUAUAUAGUUAUUUUAAAACAAAAUGUCUUUAACUAUCUGGCACAAAUACAAACACUAAAAACAUAUUUUAGGAAUUAUCAUAAUACCUCCUCCUCUAUGAGAUCAGAAUUUGACUUAUUUAAACCAAGAAUAAAUAGCUAACUCUUUGGUUUCAACAAUUUUUUCUUCUUAGUUCCUAGAUGUUGAUUGAAAAGUAAUAAAUGACUGUUUUUAAGAAAUCAUUAACAAGCAAGAUUAAACAUUGUAUAAUCUUUCUAGAUUAUAAAAUAUAAUAAAACAUAAACAUACUAGAAAAUAAAAUUUAUAUAAAUUUCACCUCUGUAUGAAACUGUCAUUUCUAACUUUCAUACUCUUAUGAAACAUAAUUCACUUAUGUUAAAUGUAUUUUGUAACAAAAUGGGAGCCUUAUUGUUUAGUUUAAGCACAUGUUGUAUUACUAUUUUCCUUUAUCUUUAAAAAACCCCUCUCCCCAAUGAAAGAUCUUUUUCCUUAAGCAGCAAAUUAUGUCAAAAUAUAAAAUCUAAAGGAAUUGGCUAUUUUAAAGUCUUUUGACAACUUUGGAGAUUAUAUGUGUUGGUAUUUUUUCUCUUUAUCUCUACUUUCCAUAAUUUCCAUAUGUGAAUAUGUGUUUGUGUAACUUUCACUAUCUUUCCCCACUUAAGUCAUGUAUAUCAGGAAGGAAAAGUUAAUUUUGAGACUCAUAUUUAUUUAAAAAAUGUUACACAUUGUAUGUAUGAGGUGAGUAAACUAAAUUUAGAUUAUUUUUCACAAUGAUAGAGCAAAUGUAAGGAAUACUAUAUUAUUGAUGUUAAAAGAGAAAACCUCUCAGCCUGUGAAAAUCAAUGACCUAUCUUAUCUUGAUUAAAAAGAAAAGUACACUGAAUUCUUUGGUUAGGCUCUGUAUAUAUUAAUAAUGUGUCCUCAAUAGUUUUGAUCUCUAGUAUUAAUGUUGAGAUUAUAGAGCUAGCUUUAUACCAAUUAAAAAGAACUUCUGAGCAACAUGAACAUGAAAGGGAAAAGAUCUUCCCCACAUAUCCGCACCCCAAACUUCUAUCCCCGAUGCAGUAAGAAUAAUCUUUUUAUUCCAUUAAAAUGGUCACUAACCUUAUAAUGAUAAAAGAAUGUUUCCAUCUCUUACCUGAAAGGAGGCUUGUCAAUAUAACAGGAACUGAAAUUGGGACUGUUCUGUGUUGUCUAUUACAGUACAAGGCUCUGUACUGCUUUGCCUCUUUGAAGGCUGAAGUAACAAUGUAUGACUCUCGCCUCCUGGGACCCUAUGAAAAUGAGAUAGCUGGUUCCAAUAAAAGCUAUAGACCUUGACGCUGGGACGGAGUUGAGGAAAACCAAUAUUUCACAUACACUAAAAAAUAAUUAACCUGGUAUUCUAAACUUGUUUUUCUUGAAUAUUUUUGUAUGUACAUAUGAAUGUUAGCCUCAUUCACACAAAUAUGAAAGAAAUUAUUUUACUGAUACAAAUACUACUUAAACCUUUUGUUUUCAGAGAGGCAAAAAUCACCUUAGAAAGCAGUUGCUUAAAGCCUUUGAAAUUUGAAUAUUUCAAUUUAUAACUUAUAUCCUUAUCAUCUUAAAAAAUGUUAGGCUUCUUCAAAGCUGGCACUUAAAAAUUUUUGUGGUUUGGUGGGCUAGGUAUGUGACAAAGGUAUGCCUUUCUCAUUAACUCUGUCAAAAUGCUUUGCAUUUAACAUUUAUUUGGGUGUGUGUGCAAAUCUGUCUAAGACUAUGAACUCUGGAGAGUUUUCAUUCUAUGCGACAUAAAUGAGUUUUAUAUAAUGAAUAUAUAUGUUUCAGCUGGAAAAAAAACAGGCUUUAUAUCUUGACAAUAUAUUAUUAAAAUGUGUUAGGAUAUUGUCAGCCUAAGAUCAACCUAAUUUAAAAAAAAAUAAAAGAAUAAGUUCUUUUAAUGAAAUACUAGCCUAUGUUAUAUGUAUACCUAUUUGCUGAUUUUAAAAUGGAAACUGAUUCUCCUGAGAAAGAAAUUUGAGGUGAUUACCUAAUGAAUUAUCUUUAGCCUAAUGUUAAGGUACUAAAACACAGUCAUAUGUUUUGCUUUUUAAAAUAUUUUCAAAAGAAAGUCUUAAAAAUCAAAAAAAGUUAGAGGAAUAUUCAACUUAAAAGCUAUCAUUCUGCUCUUUAAAAUUACCAAUCUUUAUGCCAGGAGAAAUAUGUUUAAGAGUCAUUAACACUGUAGGCUCAUUGAAGUAGAAGCACAGAAUGUUAUUUUUAAAAUAAAAAUAAAUAUAUAUAUAUAUAUAUUCAUACAUGUGCAUAUGUACUCUUUUUAAAAAGAGGCCUAAAGAGGUUUCAUAAUUUUUAGCAAUGUAAAAAAGGAAUAGCAAGUAUCACAGACCAAAUUAGAAGAAAGCCAGUCAUGAUUUUUUAAGUAAAGGAGAAAGGGCAUUUUCCAGGGUAAAUUUAGCUUUAUUUGGAGCAGUUGAGGUGAAGAAGAGGUAGGUGCUCACUUUCUAAAUUAAGUCAACUGGAUAAUCUGUCUACACAGAGCAAUGAGACAUCUCUUAUUCUAACGAGCUAUGUAGACAUUUCUCUAACCUGAGAAUAUAGAGCACCAUUUACUUUUGAAAUAAUUUAGAACUUUUAUUUCAGUUAGGAAACAUAUUUUGCCAACAUCAUAUUGUAACUGUAUUUUCAAUGACAUUCUCCAUAAUAAUAAUAUUUAAAUGGUGAUUACCUAAUGAAUUAUCUUUAGCCUAAUGUUAAGGUACUAAAACACAGUCAUAUGUUUUGCUUUUUAAAAUAUUUUCAAAAGAAAGUCUUAAAAAUCAAAAAAAGUUAGAGGAAUAUUCAACUUAAAAGCUAUCAUUCUGCUCUUUAAAAUUACCAAUCUUUAUGCCAGGAGAAAUAUGUUUAAGAGUCAUUAACACUGUAGGCUCAUUGAAGUAGAAGCACAGAAUGUUAUUUUUAAAAUAAAAAUAAAUAAAUAAAUAUAUAUAUUCAUACAUGUGCAUAUGUACUCUUUUUAAAAAGAGGCCUAAAGAGGUUUCAUAAUUUUUAGCAAUGUAAAAAAGGAAUAGCA